rnacentral:rRNA from 1 species
UACGUAGGGUGCAAGCGCUAAUCGGAAUUACUGGGCGUAAAGCGUGCGCAGGCGGUUUUGUAAGUCUGACGUGAAAUCCCCGGGCUUAACCUGGGAACUGCAUUUGUGACUGCAUGGCUAGAGUGCGGCAGAGGGGGAUGGAAUUCCGCAUGUAGCAGUGAAAUGCGUAGAUAUGCGGAGGAACACCGAUGGCGAAGGCAAUCCCCUGGGCCUGCACUGACGCUCAUGCACGAAAGCGUGGGGAGCAAACAGG